AAAGAGCUUGCACGGUAAGGCUGACCCUAAUGCUUUACUUGGAGCCUUUCUGUCACCAAGGGAACAAACCUGCUCUAGCUAGUUGGAUGAUGGGAAAUAUGUGCUUCAGUCUCUGCAAGGCCCCAGUAAACAGCCAACACUGCCAGAGGCACCUAGUAAAGUCCCUGCAGCUGGCCACAGGGACGUCAGUGGAUAAUAGGCAUCAGCAUUACUUGGAGCUUAUUGGGAAUAUGGAAGUUGGGUCCCACCCUAAAGCUAGACGCCCGACUGAGAGUUUCAACUGGAUCCCCAGGUGCAGCAGAAAGAUUGGAAUAAACAUGUGAACACAUCCAGCUCAUCAGCACCACGUGGAUCCUGCAGAAGAUAACUCAGUGACUCGAUCUCAUUCAAACCUGUCUUGCUUCCUUGGCGUUUCUGAAUCAAGACACAGACAGAGAACACCUCUGGCUCAAAAUGCCAAAUAUGGCCCAGAUGGACUGGCCAAGCAGGAGUCAAGAUCAGAUCAUUGCUCCCUAAUUUGCCCCCUGGUGCUCAGCACUUAGUUGGAUACAGCUGCAUUUCUAAACUCCAUUUUUCUCUUGUGCUCACUGGAUAGUAAACACGAAUCACUAUUAAUAAUAAUUCUCCACUGCACGUCCAGAACAAUCCAUCCAAAGAAAAUUGGAACUUCUUUACUGAGGUCCAGUCCCAUCAAUUUGAUGCCCAUUUUAUAGAAAGGCCAUUGAGCAAAAUUAAUGUACCCAAACAAAUAGAGUUUGUCCUUGUAACUGAUUCACAGUAUGACAGGAAACAAAAGGGCUGCUUUAAUGGCCUCCUCGGGGAAAUUUAUUUUCAGAACAUUGAGUUAUUUUCUUCUACUCUACCAGAUUACAUUAAAAUCAUUUUAAAAAGAAAGAAAAGCAAAAGAAAAC
ensembl:lncRNA